GAGUUUGAUCCUGGCUCAGGAUGAACGCUGGCGGCGUGGAUCAGGCAUGCAAGUCUAACGGGCCUCGUAAGAGGUCAGUGGCAAACGGGAGAGCAACACGUAAGCAUCUACCUUUAACUUGAGGAUAACUCCGAGAAAUCGGAACUAAUACUCAAUGGUCCUGUAAGCUUUCGAGCUUAUUGGUAAAGAUUUUUCGGUUAGAGAAGAGCUUGCGUCCUAUCAGCUAGUUGGUGAGGUAAUGGCUUACCAAGGCGAUGACGGGUAGCUGGUUUGAGAGAACAACCAGCCUCAUUGGGACUGAGACACUGCCCCAAACUCCUACGGGAGGCUGCAGUCGAGAAUCUUCGUCAAUGCCCGAAAGGGUGAACGAGCGACGCCGCGUGAUUGAUGAAGCCCUUCGGGUGUAAGAUCUUUCUAGGGAAGAACAAAUGACGGUACCCUAGGAAUAAGACCUUGGCUAACCUCGUGCCAGCCGCCGCAGUAAG
rnacentral:rRNA from 1 species